rnacentral:ncRNA from 1 species
UUAAAAGCGUUGAUCGGGAAAAGUACCGCCCAACAUCUGCACAGAGAGCCCGGCAUCAGGCUGCGAGCCGGGACAGGGACGGGGCGGGAAAGAACACCCGGGAGCUGCAACCUGAACCCCGUUGAAAAGCGGGCAGUAGGGGCGCCGCAGGCCGCGCGUUACAGCGGCAGCGUUUCAAAGGUGAACGUGUACGGAAAAGUGACCGUACGCCGGUUAUUCCGGCUGCGGUAAGAUAGGUGGCACCGCGGGUUCAAGACAGCAACUCGUCCUAUAC